rnacentral:rRNA from 1 species
UACGUAGGUGGCAAGCGUUGUUCGGAAUUAUUGGGCGUAAAGGGCGCGUAGGCGGUUCUGUAAGUCGGUUGUGAAAGCCCGGGGCUCAACCCCGGAGGGUCGACUGAUACUGCAGGACUAGAGUACGGAAGAGGUAGCUGGAAUUCCCGGUGUAGCGGUGAAAUGCGUAGAUAUCGGGAGGAGCACCUGAGGCGAAGGCGGGCUACUGGGCCGAUACUGACGCUGAGGCGCGAAAGCCAGGGGAGCAAACGGG